rnacentral:rRNA from 1 species
UACGUAGGGUCCGAGCGUUGUUCGGAAUUACUGGGCGUAAAGGGCUCGUAGGCGGCCAACUAAGUCGGACGUGAAAUCCCCAGGCUUAACUUGGGAACUGCGUCCGAUACUGGAUGGCUUGAAUCCGGGAGAGGGAUGCGGAAUUCCAGGUGUAGCGGUGAAAUGCGUAGAUAUCUGGAGGAACACCGGUGGCGAAGGCGGCAUCCUGGACCGGUAUUGACGCUGAGUGAGCGAAAGCCAGGGGAGCAAACGGG